rnacentral:rRNA from 1 species
UACGUAGGGCGCAAGCGUUAUCCGGAAUUAUUGGGCGUAAAGAGCUCGUAGGCGGUUUGUCGCGUCCGCUGUGAAAGCCCGGGGCUUAACCCCGGGUCGCAGUGGAUACGGGCAGGCUAGAGGUAGGUAGGGGAGAAUGGAAUUCCCGGUGUAGCGGUGAAAUGCGCAGAUAUCGGGAGGAACACCGGUGGCGAAGGCGGUUCUCUGGGCCUUACCUGACGCUGAGGAGCGAAAGCGUGGGGAGCAAACAGG